GCCUCGGUAGCUCAGUUGGUAGAGCGUGCGACUGAAGUUCGCAAGGUCGGGGAUUCGAUCACCCCCUGGGGCA
rfam:Thecamonas trahens ATCC 50062 unplaced genomic scaffold supercont1.64, whole genome shotgun sequence.